ACACGACUACAUUAGAUACCCGUGUAGUCCUAGCCGUAAACGAUACUCGCUAGGUGUCGGCCACGGUGCGACCGUUGUCGGUGCCGUAGGGAAGCCGUGAAGCGAGCCACCUGGGAAGUACGGCCGCAAGGCUGAAACUUAAAGGAAUUGGCGGGGGAGCACAACAACGGGUGGAGCUUGCGGUUUAAUUGGAUCCAACGCCGGAAAUCUUACCGGGACCGACAGCAACAUGAAGGCCAAGCUGAAGACUUUGCCGGAUUAGCUG
rnacentral:rRNA from 1 species